rnacentral:rRNA from 1 species
UACGGAGGGUGCAAGCGUUAUCCGGAUUCACUGGGUUUAAAGGGUGCGUAGGUGGGCAAGUAAGUCAGUGGUGAAAUCUCCGGGCUUAACCCGGAAACUGCCAUUGAUACUAUUUGUCUUGAAUACUGUGGAGGUCAGCGGAAUAUGUCAUGUAGCGGUGAAAUGCUUAGAUAUGACAUAGAACACCAAUUGCGAAGGCAGCUCACUACACAAUCAUUGACGCUGAGGCACGAAAGCGUGGGGAUCAAACAGG